CUAUGAAGAGAUAGCAGACCUCAUGUGUGUCUCCAGCGUUAUUACCCUGUCACCAGCUGGCUCAAAUCACUGAAUAGUACACUUGAGAUGCGCGGGAACACUAGCGUCAGGUGAUCAAUUUUCAUACCACUGGUACGAUUGUCGUACCACUGGUUUGAGCUCUACGCUUCCCCUAGCUUCUGUACCUCAAUCGCAGUUGCUGUGACUUUAAAACAGCUGUAUGAUAAAAACAUCUGAUAAAACGGAGUAUGAUACAAACAAUUGAUACUGUUGCACUAAUGCGCGUUUUCUCGAAUGUAGUGUGAAUGUCUCUCUGCGUUAGUCGUAUUGUUCUGUGGUAUGUCGGUCCCACAUGCCACAUGCGAUUGUGGCUCGUCUGCAACCGGCCUUAAACGAGAAUGAACUGUUAAUAUUACAUUAAUAAACCUGUAUCAGCUACCGUCUAUAGAAGGCAUUGACAAGACAGAGGUUCUGCAACGUUUUUCUUCUGUCUUUCUCCACUGCCAAUAUAACGUGGACCUCACUAUAUCUUGGUUCGACCCUAGCAAAUUCUCAAUACAAUUGGACCUCAUUUCACUAAACUGGUGUUUCGAAACCUACCUAGAAUAGGUGUUUCUACAAAAUGUUUGGGAUGUUGAGCUAUUUCCGUCAACAAUUCAUAAAAAUAUGAUUAAUAAUUUCACUUUAUUGUCUCAUCUUUAUCUAACUGUGAAACAUAUUCAACAUUAUAUUCCAUUCACUUUGCGAGUUUCGUAUUGUUCGGAAUCCACCUAAAAUAAUAUUGUAAUUGUACCGAAUCUUGAAGGAAUUUUAACGGUUCUCAUUACCCAUUCUUGAGUCUGUUUAUCAUUCCAUUAUAUUGGAGGUUUGAAACUCCCAUUUAUUAGAUCUACUUAUCUAAAAAAUUAUCUACUUGAAAUUGAAAAAAAAACUGUUUGUGCCGGUUGCACAACAGCCGUUUAAAUUUUAACCGUGAUUAAUUCCACGAGAACCAAUCAGAGAAGCCGUCUUUUCAAAAACGCCUUCUCUGAUUGGUUCUCGUGAAAUUAAUCACGGUUGAAAUUUAAACGGCUGUUAUGCAACCGGGUCUUUGUCUAUUAAAUCGAUAAUUUAGAACCCACCUGAAUUGGGAUGUUUUAACCACACUAUCAAGCCGUUGUCAUCAAUGAAUCACUAAUGUAUAUCAUAAUUACACUGUAUUAAAAACUUGGAAUCAACCGAAAGUACUAUCUCCCAUUUAUGUAUUAUUUAUCUGUAAAAAAUCAUGUUGAAGAUUAUAAAUAAAUAUUGACAAUACUUGAAUGUAUAGAGUAGCUUUAAAUUUAUCUCGGUAAUAUGAAUUGUAAGCUUAGGUACUUAUGUAUUUUAAAUGAUGAUAUGAUAUAUACUUUGUUGAAAUUGAAAUAUAAUUUAAUGAGAUAUUACAAU